rnacentral:snoRNA from 1 species
AAACCAUGCAUAGGACAUUUUCUAAGUAAUUGCUUAAAUCUUUCCGAGGCUUUGUAAAGCAUUUCAUCCUCUAAUUUCUAAAAAUAUGUGAUGUCAUUUCUAAGAUU